rnacentral:rRNA from 1 species
GAUGAACGCUGGCGGCGUGCCUAAUACAUGCAAGUAGAACGCUGAAGGAGGAGCUUGCUCUUCUGGAUGAGUUGCGAACGGGUGAGUAACGCGUAGGUAACCUGCCUGGUAGCGGGGGAUAACUAUUGGAAACGAUAGCUAAUACCGCAUGACAACAGUUAUUGCAUGAUAACUGUUUAAAAGGGGCAACUGCUCCACUACCAGAUGGACCUGCGUUGUAUUAGCUAGUUGGUGAGGUAACGGCUCACCAAGGCGACGAUACAUAGCCGACCUGAGAGGGUGAGCGGCCACACUGGGACGGAGACACGGCCCAGACUCCUACGGGAGGCAGCAGGAGGGAAUCUUCGGCAAUGGACGGAAGGCUGACCGAGCAACGCCGCGGGAGGGAAGAAGGGUUUCGGAUCGUAAAGAUCUGUUGUAAGAGAAGAACGAGUGUGAGAGUGGAAAGUUCACACUGUGACGGUAUCUUACCAGAAAGGGACGGCUAACUACGUG